UACGGAGGGUGCGAGCGUUGUUCGGAAUCACUGGGCGUAAAGAGCGUGUAGGCGGCCCGAUAAGUCCGCUGUGAAAGUCCAGGGCUCAACCCUGGAAUGCCAGUGGAAACUGUCGGGCUGGAGUCCGGAAGAGGCGAGUGGAAUUCCUGGUGUAGCGGUGAAAUGCGCAGAUAUCAGGAGGAACACCAAUGGCGAAGGCAGCUCGCUGGGACGGUACUGACGCUGAGACGCGAAAGCGUGGGGAGCAAACAGG
rnacentral:rRNA from 1 species